CUUUGCAUUUUCAUGGUGUUUCUUGGGUUUGAAUGAAGUUAUAUUUCCAUUUUCCUCUCCAUUUGCUGCAAUACUCAUGGUUUUUCUUUGCAUUUUGGUUGGUUGGUUGAUAAAAUGGAGUUCUAUGUGAGUUUUGGGUUGAAGAGAGCUUAAGGUGUUGUGUGGGUGUUGUGGGUUUGGCUCUUUCCUUUCAUAUUUCGAUUUUGAUAUUUGAAACCAGUUUUGAACCAGAGUUUGAUGGUGUUAUUGGGGCUGGACAGUGCUGGAGUUGAAGGGUAAAAUGUUAUUUUCGUUUUUGCACAAGAGCUUGAAGAAAUGGAAGAUUGGGUUGAGUUGAAGUAGCAGUAGUAGUGUGGGUUUAUUGUCUUGAAUGGAGUUGCAACUUGAAAUGGGGUUUCUUUGGUGUGUGUUUUCGGUGGGAGGAAGAAGAAAAUGCUAAAUGAUAUAUGUUUGGGUGAGAAAACCGAACGGGACAAGGAAAGGAGGAAAGAUGAGCGCAAUUAAGUUUUUUACCAUUUUUGGGCAAACAAGGAAAUAUGUUUCUUGUCAUUCUAGAAAAUUUCCAUUUUGAUACUUGGUCUUUGUUUGGUUUUGCCGAGACAUAGUGGUGUGUGGAGGCUUUUAGAGUUUAUUUCCAUUUGGUUUAGCUUACAUGCACAUUGGUAGGAGCACCCAUGGUUACAUUCAUUUACCCUUUGGUUUGGAAGCAAUUUUUCUUUGUACCAUGCACAUGAGCUCACGGCAAUUGUGGUCUUGGAGUGGAUUCAGAAUUUGUGUUGCAUGGAGGAGUGAGGUCACGGUUUCAAAUGGGUUUCUUUAAGUAUAUUUUAAUUCCUUUUGAGAAAUGGUGCACAUGGGGACAAAAAGACAACAAAUUAGAUGCUUUCUUGAAGAGUAAAAAUUGAAGUGAACUUGGUGGAGUGUGGAUCACGGCCAUGUGCCUUUUCUUGGCCAUUUGGACUUUUAAAAUUAAUUGUUAAUUGUCAUUUAGUCAAAGUAAUUUGCUAGGAUUAAAUUAGGCUUGUUGGUUUCCUUGGUUUUUAAUUAAUUUAGUUACUAGGUUGAGUUUAAUGUGUUUGAGUUAGUGUUGAGUUUAAUUAAUUUUAACUGUGUUUGUUAAUUUGUUUGCAAGAAUAUUUGAUGUUUGAAUGUUGUCUAAGGUUUUUAAUAGUGUUAGUUUAAUUCCCAUGCCAGCUUAAUUUAGUUGGUUUGCAUCCGUGCCUUUAUUGAAUUCUUUAAUUUCUGCAAAAACUUUUCAAACCCCCCCCCUUUCGUGUUAGACUUGAUUCUCGAACCGCAAAAUUGGUCUUUAGGAGACGACCUAGGGGUCAUUCCCUAGCUAUACUGCAUUUCUCAUAUGCAAUCAAAUUUGUAUGGGCCGCGACACCCAUCAAAAAGCAAAGGCAAAAGAAAAGAAAAAGUGAGAAAAGAAAAAUUCAAAAAGAAAAAAAAAAGAGCUCACUGCAAGGGAAAGCUGGGAAAAAGAAAUAGAGUUGUUCUUAAAUCCUAUUGGAAAAAAUGUCUUUCUUAACUCAAGGAACUUCGCUAACCAAAAAAACCAAUUUCCUUCUUAGCCCAGCCAAGUUAGAAGCCAUGAAAAGUCCUUGUGAUGAUAACCUGCUUGUGAGUAUGUUUGAUUGUGGUUAAGUGAAAGGCAAAAUUAAUUUGUGUGACAUUGUGAUAACAGAGAAAAACACAACAUCAUACACCUGUGAUUUGAGUGAGACACUUUUGAGUGCUUGAGUGAAACACUUUCCCUGGUGAGGAAUAGUUCUCUGAAUUUCUAAUUACAUAUUUGCUUGGUUGAUUGAUCAUUCUUAAGGAUAGCACCUGAGCAUCUCACUAACUUUAUUGAAUUCUGCACAUCUUGAC
rnacentral:lncRNA from 1 species